GAUGAACGCUAGCGGGAGGCUUAACACAUGCAAGUCGAGGGGCAGCAUAGGGUAGCAAUACUCUGAUGGCGACCGGCAAACGGGUGAGUAACGCGUAUGCAACCUACCCUGUACAGGGGGAUAACCCGGAGAAAUUCGGACUAAUAUCCCGUAAUAAUAUCCGGAGGCAUCUUUGGAUAUUUAAAGUUUCGACGGUACGGGAUGGGCAUGCGUAACAUUAGCUGGUUGGUAAGGUAACGGCUUACCAAGGCUAUGAUGUUUAGGGGUCCUGAGAGGGUGGUCCCCCACACCUGGUACUGAGGCACGGACCAGACUCCUACGGGAGGCAGCAGUGAGGAAUAUUGGUCAAUGGGCGCAAGCCUGAACCAGCCAUCCCGCGUGCAGGAAGACGGCCCUAGUGGGUUGUAAACUGCUUUUCCGAGGGAGAGAAACUUACGCACGUGUUGCGUGACUGACGGUACCCUGGGAAUAAGCAUCGGCUAACUCCGUG
rnacentral:rRNA from 1 species